rnacentral:rRNA from 1 species
CUCGUAGGCGGCCAACUAAGUCAUACGUGAAAUCCCUCGGCUUAACCGGGGAACUGCGUCUGAUACUGGAUGGCUUGAGUUCGGGAGAGGGAUGCGGAAUUCCAGGUGUAGCGGUGAAAUGCGUAGAUAUCUGGAGGAACACCGGUGGCGAAGGCGGCAUCCUGGACCGAUACUGACGCUGAGGAGCGAAAGCCAGGGGGAGCAAACG